GAGCUGUGCAGUUUGUGCUGCCAGCAAGCGUGCAAAGAAGAGGAGGGGGAGCGAGCGCGUAAAGGAGGAGGAGGAGCGAAGAGAGAGAGUGCAAACAAUGUCAUUCUGUUCAGGAGGCAAUGCUGCAGUCAACUUUGCAGCGCCAUGAAGGCACAUCACCAGCGACCAGGAGGCGCAGAGUGAGUGCAGAGAAGUUUUCCUCCUCUCCGCCCCGAGUGUGCGAUGCCAUCCGAGACUCACCUGUGGGAGCAGGAUAACACACCCGGUCCAGCUGUUGGUGGCGUGUUGGAACAUGCCUUGACUUGUUGCACUGCCUGGGUGAAGCACAGGGGCCACAGUCCCAGGAAGAGAGGGAAGCGGCUCCUGGUCAACAGUGUGCCAGGGUGGAGUGACCCACACCGAGACCUGCUGCACCUGUGGACAGAGCGUGGAUGGAGGAGCUGCUUAGAGCUUCAAGCUGUUGGCGUAAGACCCCGUGCCCCCCCCCCCCCCCCCCCGGGCGUUCAGCGUGAGGCCUUAGCCUUCCAACAACCACCAGGAAGCCGGGCACGGGAAGUGUGAGCAUCCGCAGUGCCAGACUUACGGGUGGAGGUGUGUACCAGUCCGGAUGCUGCAGGGGGGAGGCAGGCGGAGCGCCCGGCGGUCGGAUGCGGCUGCUGUGGGUGUUUCUCUGGCAGUGUCUUAGCUGGUUGUUGUGAGGAGUGAGAACGAAGCAAUCAGCAAGUAUACUGCCGCAGAAACUCUUCGCAAUAACAGGCCCUGGGACCAGAGCCAUCGAGGGCGGGGGGGGGGGCAAAACGUGAAUCAGCAUCGUAGCCAUCUGCUACUGCAGGUUCCUACGUGUGUGAAGAGGAUGUAGGAAUUAACCAGAGCUGAGGACCUGAUACAGAAUGGGCUGAGGAAAGAUCACCCGAGCACAUGACCUCUGCAUGUUUACAUUUGAAUUAAAGCAUCAAACUCAUACUUGCUAUCCACUUACAGUCCUCUGCUGCCAUCGUGUGAUAGAAAUGGACAUUUUUAGCAUGUUUUUUUGUUCAUUUAACACUGCAGCAGUCUGUAAAAAAUGACAUUGACAUUGAUCUAAAAUCCCAUAUAUUUAGAUAAUAUGGCUUGGUUUAACAUGACUUCAGGUUCCAACUUUUCAGCUGCAACUGCAUGUUGUUUUUUGUGUACAAAUCUAAUAUUGCUUCAAUAGUUGUAGUUUGUCUGUUUUUUCGAGUUAUUGUGAUUGAAUAUCGAUGGAAAAUGAAUUAAUAAAAGUGACGUAGCUUAUAUUCUACUUGUUUGUUUUCACAGUAAACAUGCAGUUAGUAGUAUGUAAACAUAUAGUUUCACAAAGACUUUGCGCUGUGUAAAAUCAACUCUUUGGGACCCUCAAAAGACGAUGUUGCCAUGCGAACGGAGGAGACCUAAUGAGUGCCGAUGAGGCAGAAUGGCCCACUUGCCAGGUGCACUGUAAUUAAGGGUAAACAAUGAAUGCAGACGCAGCUGAGUGUAGUUUGAUCCUAAUUUAACGUCCCAAAUACAGCUUUCGUCUACAGAAUGUUUAGUUCACUGAAGAAA
ensembl:lncRNA